CUUGCGACACAGGCGAUAUGUGCCCACUGCCUGCAUUCUUGGCACUGCACCCACUUUUCCUUGGGUUUGCUGUUGCUGUAGGUGUCACAACCCACGAGGCAUAUGCAAUCACCUUCAUCUGUCGUUACAAUUAUAUAAUUGUAAUUGAUCCUGUUACAAUUAUACCCACUACUGCCAUUUUUAGCUUCUCCCCUCCUGUGCAACAAGCAUUCAUUCAAACUAAGCAACGUUCAUAGUAAAUGUCACCUACAUGACACCUGCUUUUGUGCACUAUGUAUGAACAGGAUGUCGAUAAUACUUUGAAAUCUAUGAGAUUUUAAUUCCAAAAGGAAAGAAUUACUAACUUACCUGGAAAAUGAUUUUUCGUUCUUAUUUCGUCGGAG
rnacentral:lncRNA from 1 species